rnacentral:rRNA from 1 species
GACGAACGCUGGCGGCGUGCUUAACACAUGCAAGUCGAACGAAGUGGCGAACGGGUGAGUAAUACGUGGGUAACCUGCACUCCUUUUUGGGAUAAGCCUCGGAAAAGGGGUCUAAUACCGAAUAAAGGGGGAUGGUCUCGCGGCUUAUGAGCUUGUUGGUGGGGUGAUGGCCUACCAAGCAGGUGACGGGUAGCCGGCCUGAGAGGGUGAGCGGCGAGGUGGAACCGGAGAUACUGCCAAGCGACCUACGCGGGGAGACAGUGGGGGAUAUGGCACAAAGGGCGAAAGCCUAAUGCAGCGACGCCGCGUGGGGGAUGAGGGCUUUCGGGUUGUAAACCUCAUUCGCUAUCGAACGGGUAGGUGAAGAAGAAGCGACGGCUAACUACGUGCCAGCAGCCGCGGUAAUUC